CCUACGGGAGGCAGCAGUAGGGAAUCUUCCGCAAUGGACGCAAGUCUGACGGAGCAACGCCGCGUGAGUGAAGAAGGUUUUCGGAUCGUAAAGCUCUGUUGUUAAGGAAGCGGUACUUAACCAGAAAGCCACGGCUAACUACGUGCCAGCAGCCGCGGUAAUACGUAGGUGGCAAGCGUUAUCCGGAAUUAUUGGGCGUAAAGCGCGCGUAGGCGGCAAGAAAAGUCUGAUGUGAAAGCCCCCGGCUCAACCGGGGAGGGUCAUUGGAAACUGUUUUGCUUGAGUACAGAAGAGGAGAGUGGAAUUCCAUGUGUAGCGGUGAAAUGCGCAGAGAUAUGGAGGAACACCAGUGGCGAAGGCGGCUCUCUGGUCUGUACUGACGCUGAUGUGCGAAAGCGUGGGGAUCAAACAGGAUUAGAUACCCUUGUAGUC
rnacentral:rRNA from 1 species